CAUUCCUAAUAUCUGAUUUGUGUCUAUUUAUCCUUUUACGUAGGGACUGUCCAGUUUGGCCGAUUUACAUAGCAGAGGGGCAUUGCUGGCACAUGAUGGCAUAUAUUACAUUGGUGGACGUGUAGGUAAAUGAACCAGUGAUGGUGUGGCUGAUCUGGUUAGGAC